AGAGUUUGAUCCUGGCUCAGGAUGAACGCUAGCGGCAGGCCUAAUACAUGCAAGUCGAACGGGUGGUAGCAAUACUACUAGUGGCGCACGGGUGCGUAACGCGUAACCAACCUACCUGGAUCUGGGGGAUAGCCCGCCGAAAGGCGGAUUAAUACCGCAUAAGACUAUAGUGUGGCAUCACAUAGUAGUUAAAGAUUUAUUGGAUUCAGAUGGGGUUGCGUAGCAUUAGCUAGAUGGCGGGGUAACGGCCCACCAUGGCGACGAUGCUUAGGGGACCUGAGAGGGUGAUCCCCCACACUGGCACUGAGAUACGGGCCAGACUCCUACGGGAGGCAGCAGUAGGGAAUAUUGGGCAAUGGGCGAGAGCCUGACCCAGCCAUGCCGCGUGCCGGAUGAAGGCCUUCUGGGUUGUAAACGGCUUUUCUCAGGGAAGAAAAAGAGGAUGCGUCCUAAACUGACGGUACCUGAGGAAUAAGCACCGGCUACUCCGUGCCAGCAGCCGCGGUAAUACGGAGGGUGCAAGCGUUGUCCGGAUUUAUUGGGUUUAAAGGGUGCGUAGGUGGCCCGUUAAGUCCGGGGUGAAAGCCCACAGCUCAACUGUGGAACUGCCCUGGAUACUGGCGGGCUUGAGAGUCGUCGAGGGUGGCGGAAUGGACGGUGUAGCGGUGAAAUGCAUAGAUACCGUCCAGAACCCCAAUUGCGUAGGCAGCUGCCUAGGCGACAUCUGACACUGAGGCACGAAAGCGUGGGGAGCGAACAGGAUUAGAUACCCUAGUAGUCC
rnacentral:rRNA from 1 species